rnacentral:rRNA from 1 species
UACGGAGGGUGCGAGCGUUGUUCGGAAUUACUGGGCGUAAAGCGCGUGUAGGCGGCCCUGUAAGUCAGAUGUGAAAGCCCUCGGCUUAACCGGGGAAGUGCAUCUGAAACUGCUUGGCUUGAGUACCGGAGAGGGAGGCGGAAUUCCCAGUGUAGAGGUGAAAUUCGUAGAUAUUGGGAGGAACACCGGUGGCGAAAGCGGCCUCCUGGACGGAUACUGACGCUGAGACGCGAAAGCGUGGGGAGCAAAC